GACUACAGCAUCAACUAUGCAAUAACCAGGAACCUCAGCACCAUGGGCGUGUUUACUGUCACAUGUCACAUACAUCGUCACAGUGGGAGGGGUUGGCUAGUCUCAGUGGGAGGUCCCUGUAGGCAAGCAACCUCAGGUUACAGUUGGUGGGAAGGAAGAAGCAGGAAGAGGUCGGUUUGGGCACUCUCUGGUCAGGCAAAAGCAGGGGCAAGUGUGGACCAUAAGGAAUGAGACUGAUGCAGGUGUACUGACUUGGGCUUGGGCCAUCGGGAUGUGAGCGCUGAACUCUUCAGGGAGAAGAACUUGAACAUCUCUCUGGACCACAAGGGCUCUAGGUGGGAGUGUCAUGGAUGUUGAGAAAACUAUGCCCUUGACUUGGUGCUUCGCGUCAUCUUGACAUGUCAGGAUCAGCUCUCAGGAACCCCACCAUGGUGUUCACAGACUAAGUGCUGUGAAAUAUAAGAUAAACUGUGUGUUCCUGAUUGAAAGUUUCAUUUAGAAGAGAAACCCCAACUAGCCUUGCUCUGCUCCACAUUAUUUACUAUGACAUCCUGGCGCCUUUCCCAGAGGUCUGCAUCUUUCACAGCCAGCCUGUCCCGCCCCGGGGUCUCCAUGAGGCACAGCACAGGAGACAAAUGGGGCCAACUCUGCUUUGGGCACUGGGGGCUGGCGUCAGCAAGCCCGGACAGAUGAGCUAGCUAGUCCUGUGAGGAGGGGCUGCCUCAGCUGGUAAAGCAAAGAGCGUAUCAAGUAAUAAGGUCAUAAGAAGGUAGUCACAGCAUCAUAGAACUGCCUGGAAGAUUCUAGAAGGGUCUGGAACUGAGCUAUUCUAAACAGGUACCAUGGAAACUCAGAGGAGGAUGGAAAAGAGAAGGAAGCAUCCUAUUACAACUCUGGGUGGGAAUGCAAGAAUUGUGGACCCCUUCACAGGGGAUCCACCUAUCAAGUCAUCACUGUUGCUGCCAGACCUUGAAGAGAAGGCUCAGUGGUUAAGAGCACUGGGUACCCUUCCUGAAGGCUCAGG
rnacentral:lncRNA from 1 species